GCUACCUGGACUGUAUAAUACAAUGAAGCAUCACUGGUCCCAGGAUAAUCUCAGAAGGGCCUCCGCAAUGAUGCAACUAUCCAGUAGAGGGAGCCAGAGUAGGAAUGGAAAAAAUACUUCAUGUUAAAAAUAUACCUUACAAAUUGCACAACUGUUUCUAAAUUAGUGUUUACUAUUUUCAUGUUUGCCACUAUAUAUAUAAGGCAUACGUAAUUUAAAAGUAUCAUUUGAAUAUAUGGUAUCAUUUAGGAGAGGAAUGCAAAUCUUAAAACUUAAUGCCCUACUUUUUAGCAGUUCUUUGAACACACCUAAUGAACUUGGUUUGAACUCGGGAAUUUUUCUAAAUCAAAGACUGAAGCUCUUUUAGGCCUAAAAAAGUGUUAGAGGCAAUAGUACAGUAAGAGUUUUGAAGAUAAUUCUUUUGGUAAAAUAUAUUGCUGGCUUUUUUUCUGUCACUGAAGGAAGACAAAACUGUGUUUUAGUUACUAAAUCUACCUGUGUUUGCUUUUUAAAUUGUAGCCAGGCUCAGAGAUUAGGACUCACAGCUGUGGGCAUUUAUCGAAGGGCCUUGAGGAAAGGUGGGGAGGUGAACACAGAGGGAAGGUGAUGGGUCUGGACUUCGCAGACGCCUGAAAGGGAGGGCAGCGAGAGGCCGGUUUCAGCAAAGUGUCAGAGUCCCUCUGAGCUCGGGGAAAGAGUUUAAAGAGGACACAUCAGUGUCGGGUCCAGUCGGGAGCAAAGAGGCCGGAAGCACAAAGCCUUCUCCUCGGAGGAAGAAGAGAGGUCGAACUCGCCUGGAAGCCAGCGUGAAUUUUCUAAGGUCAUCCCAGUGCACCGGCCCCGAGCACCCUGUCUCAUGCAUCGAACCUGGACUGGCGAUCUGUUGCACAUAUGAAAGAAGCCCUGUGUAAGGCGCUCUGCUGUGCGGACCUCUUCCACUCGGUGGCAAUGUGAGUUUCUCCGUGUCAUUGCCGUCUGUCGGGCACACUUGUGCUCAUAGUAUACAAGGAUUCAUCAUGUGAACCAACCACGAUUCAUCCACUCUGUGCAGAAAGACACUCGGAUGGCCUGGGGUUGCUCAAUGCAGGGUUGAUGCAGACAUCAUUCUGGCUCUUUCUUCUGGUAAACACAGGUGUGCACCCCUGGUGGGAACACCUGAAGGUGGCUGCUGGGUCCUAGGGUGUGCUUUAUACUCACAGGUACCAACCAAGACGUUUCCCACAGGGCUGGGACCGAUUUAGUGUCUGUGUGUCCUGUGACUGGAAGUGGGGUCUGGCUGCUUGCUGCCCAAAAGUCCAUAAAGAGCCCAGGUUGGUGGAAA